CCCCGCGUCGUCGCUGCGCCAGCCUCGCCUAGCGCACGGGGACAGGUGCCCCGGCCGGGGUCUGCCGGGAAGAUGGCGACCCCGGGCAUGAGCUGGCAGCAGCACUAUUACGGCGGCUCUGCGGCCGGGGCGGCCAAAUUCGCGCCCUCGCCGGCCGCUGCGCAGAUGGCCGGGCACAGCAUGGACUACAGCCAGGACAUGCACCUGAAAAUGAGCAAGAAGAUCGCCCAGCUCACCAAGGUCAUAUACGCUUUGAAUACUAAAAACGAUGAGCACGAGUCUGCAAUUCAGGCCCUCAAAGAUGCUCAUGAAGAAGAAAUCCAACAGAUCCUUGCAGAAACAAGAGAAAAAAUACUGCUCUACAAAAGCAAGGUAACAGAAGAGUUAGACCUCAGGAGAAAGAUUCAGGUUUUGGAAGCCUCUUUGGAAGACCAUGAGAAGAUGAAGCAGCAGGCGCUGACGGAGUUUGAAGCCUAUAAGCACAGAGUUGAGGACAUGCAACUUUGUGCAGAGGCCCAGCACGUCCAACGCAUAGUGACAAUGUCGCGGGAGGUCGAAGAGAUCAGAAGGAAGUUUGAAGAAAGGUUGAGGAGCUUCGGACAGCUCCAGGUACAGUUUGAAAAGGACAAACGGUUGGCCCUGGAAGAUUUGAGAACCGCCCACAGACGGGAAGUCCAAGAGCUGUUGAAGUCGCAGCAGGACCACAGUUUCUCCGUGAAUAAGGGGCAGGAGAAAGCAGAGGAGAUGCACAGGAUGGAGGUGGAGGCCUUGAACAGCACCCUGGAAGAGCUGAGACUUGAAAAGAAAAAGCUCAUUGAGGAAUAUGAAGGCAAGUUGAACAAAGCUCAGUCAUUUUAUGAGCGUGAGCUUGAUAAUCUGAAAAGGUCCCAGCUCUUCACAGCGGAAAGCCUGCAGGCUAGCCGGGACAAGGAGGCCGAUCUCCGCAAAGAGUUCCAGGGACAAGAAGCCAUUCUGCGAAAAACCAUAGGAAAACUGAAGACCGAGUUGCAGAUGGUGCAGGAUGAAGCCAGCAGUCUUCUUGACAAAUGCCAAAAGCUGCAGGCGGCACUGGCCACAGCAGAGAGCAAUGUACAGGUUCUUCAGAAACAGCUUGAUGAUGCCAAGGAGGGAGAAAUGGCCUUGUUAAGCAAGCACAAGGAAGUGGAGAGUGAGCUGGCAGCUGCCCGGGAACGCUUACAGCAGCAAGCUUCAGACCUUGUCCUCAAAGCUAGUCAUAUCGGAAUGCUUCGAGCAACUCAGAUGACCCAGGAAGUUGCAAUUAAAGAUUUAGAAUCGGAAAAAUCCCGAGCCAACGAGCGAUUAUGUCAGCUUGAAGAGGAAAGAGCUUUUCUGCAAAGUAGAACACAGAGUCUGGAUGAAGAACAGAAGCUGCAGGUGCUGGAGCUGGAGAAGAAAGUAAAUGAAGCAAAGAGAACUCAGCAAGAAUAUUAUGAAAUGGAGCUUAAAAACCUGCAGAACAGAUUGGAAGGCGAGGUGGCCCAAUUAAACGAGGCCCAUUCUAAGACUUUAGAAGAGUUAGCCUGGAAGCACCACAUGGCGAUGGAGGCUGUCCACAGCAACGCAAGCCGAGAUAAGAAAAAGCUACAAAUGGAAUUGGAGGAACAAUAUAAAAAGGAGAAACUGAGUCUGGAAGAGGAUAAAAAUCAGCUUCAACUAGAGCUAGAAAACCUAAAGCAAGUGCUGGAAGACAAGCUGGCUUCAGCCAAUCAGGAGAUUGGCCGCCUCCAAGAUCUGGUAAGGAAAAGUGAACAAGGUCUUGGAUCUGCCGAAGGACUCAUUGCUAGUCUUCAGGACUCCCAAGUGAGGCUUCAGAGUGAACUAGACCUGACAAAAGGCAAGCUGAAGGAGACCAAGGACGCCCUCUUAAAUGUUGAGGCUGAGCUAGAACAAGAGAGGCACCAGCAUGAAGAAACCCUUGCUUCCAUGAAGGAAGAAGAGAAGCUGAAGGCGGACAGGAUGGCCCAUGAUCUAGAGAUAAAGUGGACUGAAAAUCUUAGGCAAGAGUGUUCUAAACUUCGCCAAGAGUUAAGGCUUCAACACGAAGAGGAUAAAAAGUCCGCGAUGUCUCAACUGUUGCAGCUGAAAGAGCGAGAGAAAAACGCCGCCAGGGACUCAUGGCAGAAGAAGGUGGAAGACCUUUUAAACCAGCGGCACUCUCUGGGUGAGGCUUUGCAUAAAUCUAUCAACAAUAUCUCCCUGCUCAAGCAGAACCUGGAGCUGCAGCUUUGCCAGUCACAGACAUCUCUGCAGCAGCUGCAAGCUCAGUUCACACAGGAGCGCCAGCGACUCACGCAGGAGCUGGAGGAGCUGGAGGAGCAGCAUCAGCAGAGACACAAGUCCCUCAAAGAAGCGCAUGUCCUCGCCUUCCAGACCAUGGAAGAAGAGAAGGAAAAGGAACAAAGGGCUCUGGAGAGUCACUUACAGCAGAAACAUUCUGCAGAGCUGCAGUCCCUGAAAGAUGCCCACCGAGAGUCCAUGGAGGGCUUCCGCAUGGAGAUGGAGCAGGAGCUCCAGACGCUCCGGUUUGAACUAGAAGACGAAGGAAAAGCUAUGCUUGCUUCCUUGCGGUCCGAACUCAACCAUCAGCACGCAGCCUCAAUUGAUUUAUUACGGCACAGUCACCAUCAAGAACUGGCAGCCGCGAAAAUGGAACUAGAGCGAAGCGUCGACAUCAGCCGAAGGCAGAGUAAGGAGCACAUGUGUAGAAUAAGUGACCUCCAAGAGGAGCUACGGCACCGAGAGCACCACAUCUCAGACUUAGACAAGGAGGUCCAGCACCUCCAGGAAAACCUAAGUACCCUAACGAAGGAACUGGAAUUUAAGGGGAAGGAAAUCCUCAGAAUACGAAGUGAAUCCAACCAGCAGAUGAGGUUGCAUGAACAAGAUUUAAACAAGAGACUUGAGAAAGAGCUGGAUGUCAUGACAGCAGAUCACCUCAGAGAGAAAAAUAUCAUGCGGGCAGAUUUUAAUAAGACUAAUGAGCUACUCAAGGAAAUAAAUGCAGCUUUACAAGUGUCACUAGAAGAAAUGGAAGAAAAGUACCUAAUGAGAGAAUCGAAGCCAGAAGAUAUACAGAUGAUUGCAGAAUUAAAAUCCUUGCUUUCAGAAAGAGACCAGGUCAUAAAGAAACUAAUUGAGGAUAAUAAAUUUUAUCAACUGGAAUUAGUCAAUCGAGAAACUAACUUCAACAAAAUAUUUAACACAAGUCCUACUGUUGGUGUUAUUAACCCAUUGGCUAAGGCAAGAACAGCCUCUCUUUGACAGAUGGAUAAAGUUCAUGGACCUCUCUUUUAAUAUUGUGUUUAACUUCAUGCCUUCUAAUUUUAGCGUAAACCCACUUACCCUGUGGUAUUUGGAACUUCUCCUACCUCACCUGUUCCUUGUACCCCACACCCCAACCUAUUCUCUUCCCAGUCCACUCAGUGGUUAGGGAAUAGAGGUGAACCACACCUAAGCGUCCCUUGCCCUGUGUUUCUGUCCUGGGAGCAUGUCUGUCAUGGAGGAUUCCAUGUAGAUGAACACUUUCAAGGAUCCCCAGACCACACUUUGGGUAACACUGGUUAAUUGAAACAUGAUAAUUUGACACAAAGGUUCCAAAAUUUUUCAAUGCCAAAUUUAUAGUCUCCUACUAUUUUCCUGUUUUCUUGUUGGUUCGUCGGCAGCAAAUGAGUAUUCUCACGUGUGUUAUUUUUAAUGCAGCAAAAGAAGAAGAAUGAUAAGUCACCAACAAACAGGUAUCAGUAAGGUGCAUGUGCAUGUGCUCAAGGAACUUGACCGCUGGAGCUUCCAUUACCCAUUGUUGCGUGCCUUGUAAUUCCCCCAAAGACGUCCUCCUCAGAGUGAAGCUUCCCCGGUGGCUUCUCCAGAUCCCCAGCGCCAGGAGUGGUUUGCCCGGUACUUCACAUUUUGAAUGAAUUGUGCUGGCACAGCUCUGGUGGACUGUUACAGGAGCAUGACUAUAUCCGAGUCAUUCUGCGGACAGGCCUUCCUGUGUAAAGCACUGUGAAUGAGAAAGUGUUUGUCUGUCCAAUUUGAAAAUGCACUGUUUUUCCUGUGAUAUUUAUUGUAAUCAUUCUCUGAGGGUACUAAACUCUGUGUGUAAUUAUAACAAUUAUUUUUAUUUGAGAUGGAAGUCUUUAAUCUUUGUAAUUACUGCAUAAUAAAUUUUGUUAGAACAAA